UGAGGAAUACUGGUCAAUGGGCGAGAGCCUGAACCAGCCAAGUCGCGUGAAGGAAGAAGGUACUUAGUAUUGUAAACUUCUUUUGCCGGGGAACAAAAGUCUUCACGAGCGGAGAAAUGAGUGUACCCGGAGAAAAAGCAUCGGCUAACUCCGUGCCAGCAGCCGCGGUAAUACGGAGGAUGCGAGCGUUAUCCGGAUUUAUUGGGUUUAAAGGGUGCGCAGGCGGACUGUCAAGUCAGCGGUAAAAUGUCGGGGCUCAACCCCGGCCGGCCGUUGAAACUGGUGGUCUGGAGUUGGAGAGAAGUAUGCGGAAUUCGUGGUGUAGCGGUGAAAUGCAUAGAUAUCACGCAGAACUCCGAUUGCGAAGGCAGCAUACCGGCGCCCGACUGACGCUCAUGCACGAAAGCGUGGGUAUCGAACAGGAUUAGAUACC
rnacentral:rRNA from 1 species